AUGAGGACCAUGUGUUGGAACUGCCGCGGAAUUGGCGAUCUCGCGAUAGUUAGGGAGCUCCGUGAGCUCGUGGAGGCGUGUGCACCGUCGAUCCUUUGCAUUGUUGAAACUCAGCUUGCGAAGGCUUGAGUGGAGGGCUUGGCUGGUUCUUUAGGCUUUUCAGGAGGUUUUGCAGUCCCUAGUAGUGGUCGUAGUGGCGGUUUAUGUAUUUUUUUGGAAGGAUAAUGUUAAUCUCGCAAUAAAGAAUUUUCGCAGUAUCACAUAGACUCAUGGAUUACCCAGCCAGAAGCUAAUGCUUGGCAAUUAACUUGCUUCUAUGGAGAAGCCAGCAGAAGCCUGAGGCAUAAUACUUGGGAAACGAUGAAGAGGCUAAGAGGGGAGAGCUCACUCCCUUGGGUGUGUAUUGGAGAUUUUAAUGAAGUGCUACGCCCGGAGGAGCAUUUGGGCACUAACGCCCGAGAUAGUGGCCAGAUAGGAGGAUUCAGAGAAGCCGUGGAUAUAUGCGAGCUUGCUGACCUAGGGUACAAG
rnacentral:rRNA from 1 species